rnacentral:lncRNA from 1 species
AACAAUUGAAUUUCCCAAUUCUGGACAAGUAAGUUGAUCUGAGCUAGCAAGUCUAUUGGAGAAGUUUUCUCCUCCUGCAAACUGGUGGUGAUCCCGAGAUCCAUUUUCAUACUGUUCCGUCUUUUCAUCCAAAGAACAACUGUGUUCAUCUCCUUUAUGUACUGCAGAUUUGGAUAAAGGAUCUUCAUUCUCAAGGCAGCUAACCCCAGAAGAGCUUGGAAGCUCAUCGGUGGAAUUUAACUGUCGAGGUAGCUCCUUGUUAUAGUCUCCAGCGCCCCCUUGAUCUGACUUCUUCCAUUCGUUCGGUGAAGAAUCUCCUUUCAAAGGAGGACAAGCUUCUUCACUUGCGCUGCUUAUUUCAUUCUGAUCAAGUACGUUGUUCUUUGUAGGAGCUCUUUUCCUAUUCUUAGCUGCAUCCAAGAUAAAAUUUGUGAGGAAGUCAUUUCAACUUAAACCAUAAUUCACUUAUGUUAACUCCCCACCCCCCUCUUUUUUCUAGAAUUAAUCACAUAUAAGAAUUAAAUAUCUAAUUCUACUGGCAUACUAGGUUACCCAUAAAUAUCUAUUGGACUACUCUGAAAUGCAAAGGAUCUCCGGACUCCAGAUAGUUGAUACCACCAAUAAUUGUUCCCAUUCCUUUAUUUUUAUCUAACAAAACUAGUUCUUUAGCAUAGAACUGUUACUAAAGCUGUAAGAAUAAGAGCUUAAUCCAUGUCCUCUAACAAGCCUAGAUCUUUUUGUUGGGGUGAAUACGCGCACUAGAUCUUUUUCUUUUUCCUCCAACACUACAUGUAUUAACAUAGGAUGGGAGCAAUGUAAGAGUUCAACCCAUGGAAAAAAUAAUCUCUUACAAGCUAACACAAUGUCAUGAACCAGCAC